UCAACAGAUGUUUCAUGGGCUAUGAUUCUAUUAACAAUAUGUGGACAGCAGUAGCAUUAUAUGAUACAAUUCUUAUAACAGAUGUGUUUGUACGUAGUGUAGGAUAAAAGUGUAAUUCAAUGCCUUUGAACAAUGAGGGGUUGUAUAAUUCGGUGCCUUAAUGUCUGUGGAGAAGCAACGCCUCUAUUGUUACACAUAUGUCUGACGACCAUGGCACCCCCCGGCUCCAUGUUGAUUAUGGGGGAGCUGUCUAUGGAAGACACAGGCUGUUUGAUGGCUCCCUGGUACUAUACAGAGUGAUUUGAUGUGUGUGUGUGUGUGUGUGUGUGUGUGUGUGUGUGUGUGUGUGUGUGUGUGUGUGUGUGUGUGAGAGACGUAAUAAUGUGCUUUUUAUAUUCUAUCCCACUAUAUUACGAAAACCGACUUUGGUUCACAUUGACAAUAUAUUAGGUGAUAUCAUGAUACUAUUAAGAUAGUUUAGUAAUUUUUCAUCCGUAUUUGGAUCAACUUUAUUUAUCAGUAUAAGGUCUGGCGAGUGGGCGUAGGCCUGUGGUACCUACGUGUGCGUGGGUCCAGUACCUAUUGGACAGGCGUCUAUGACGUCGGGGCCUUAGGUGCGAAUGAUGCAGAUAGGGCGUCUAUUAGGCAUAAAUAUGCGGGGUCCCUUGAUACGGGAGCGUACGACCUCCGACCCAGACGUUAGCCACACUAUUCUAAGUUAGUAAACGCGUCGUAGCAGCUGGAAGAAAAAAAAAACAUCGAUCCGUCCUGCACAACUAUGCCGACUGACUGUAAGUAUUCGUAUGUGUGUAUCAUGAUUAUAUUAUGACUAUGUCUAUGUGAAUCAGCUGUUUAUAUCUGACCGAAGCAGCGAUUACUUCACAGCGAAUUGCGGUGCCGGAGGCGAGAGCGUGAAACAGCAGCAGGGUCCACGUGGAAAUUUGCAGGAUAUUCGGCUCAACAGACCGAUUCUAGCAGACCAGACUAAUGUGCUGACAAGCGGUAGUUUUGUACCUAUCGAGGCCAAUGUCAUUCAGCGCCCCUCCGGACGGCUCAACAGACCGAUUCUAGCAGACCAGACUAAUGUGCUGACAAGCGGUAGUUUUGGUAAG